rnacentral:rRNA from 1 species
GAUGAACGCUGGCGGCGUGCCUAAUACAUGCAAGUCGAGCGAACAGAUGAGGAGCUUGCUCCUCUGACGUUAGCGGCGGACGGGUGAGUAACACGUGGAUAACCUACCUAUAAGACUGGGAUAACUUCGGGAAACCGGAGCUAAUACCGGAUAAUAUAUUGAACCGCAUGGUUCAAUAGUUAAAGACGGUUUUGCUGUCACUUAUAGAUGGAUCCUCGCCGCAUUAGCUAGUUGGUAAGGUAACGGCUUACCAAGGCAACGAUGCGUAGCCGACCUGAGAGGGUGAUAGGCCACACUGGAACUGAGACACGGUCCAGACUCCUACGGGAGGCAGCAGUAGGGAAUCUUCCGCAAUGGGCGAAAGCAUGACGGAGCAACGCCGCGUGAGUGAUGAAGGUCUUCGGAUCGUAAAACUCUGUUAUUAGGGAAGAACAAAUGUGUAAGUAACUAUGCACGUCUUGACGGUACCUAAUCAGAAAGCCACGGCUAACUACGUG